GACGGCGUAGCUCAGUUGGCAGAGCAUUGGGCUAGUAUUCCAAAGGUCGUAGGUUCGAUUCCCACCGUGGACA
rnacentral:tRNA from 1 species